rnacentral:rRNA from 1 species
AAGGCUUGACCUCAAAUCAGGUAGGAUACC